GAGUGGCAGCCGGAUGAACAGGUUUGCAGCAGGUGCUUCAGCUGCUGAAGGACCCCCAGUCUCCAGACACAGCCACACAGAGAGCUGUGCAGGAAAAACUGGAACAGCUCAACCAGUUCCCAGACUUCAACAACUAUCUCAUCUUUGUCCUUACAAGCCUCAAAUCAGAGGAUGAGCCGACCCGUUCUCUAAGUGGUCUCAUAUUGAAGAACAAUGUGAAGGCCCACUACCAGAACUUUCCUCCUCUGGUAGCUGACUUCAUCAAGAGGGAAUGUCUCAACAACAUCGGAGAUCCCUCGCCCUCAUCAGAGCAACCAUC